UACGGAGGAUCCAAGCGUUAUCCGGAUUUAUUGGGUUUAAAGGGUGCGUAGGCGGCUUAUUAAGUCAGGGGUGAAAGACGGUGGCUCAACCAUCGCAGUGCCCUUGAUACUGAUGAGCUUGAAUACACUUGAGGUAGGCGGAAUGUGACAAGUAGCGGUGAAAUGCAUAGAUAUGUCACAGAACACCAAUUGCGAAGGCAGCUUACUAAGGUGCAAUUGACGCUGAGGCACGAAAGCGUGGGGGAUCAAAACAGG
rnacentral:rRNA from 1 species